rnacentral:rRNA from 1 species
GAUGAACGCUGGCGGCGUGCCUAAUACAUGCAAGUCGAGCGAACAGAUAAGGAGCUUGCUCCUUUGACGUUAGCGGCGGACGGGUGAGUAACACGUGGGUAACCUACCUAUAAGACUGGGAUAACUUCGGGAAACCGGCGCUAAUACCGGAUAACAUUUGGAACCGCAUGGUUCUAAAGUGAAAGAUGGUUUUGCUAUCACUUAUAGAUGGACCCGCGCCGUAUUAGCUAGUUGGUAAGGUAAAGGCUUACCAAGGCAACGAUACGUAGCCGACCUGAUAGGGGGAUCGGCCACACGGGAACUGAGACACGGUCCAGACUCCUACGGGAGGCAGCAGUAGGGAAUCUUCCGCAAUGGGCGAAAGCCUGACGGAGCAACGCCGCGUGAGUGAUGAAGGGUUUCGGCUCGUAAAACUCUGUUAUUAGGGAAGAACAAACGUGUAAGUAACUGUGCACGUCGUGACGGUACCUAAUCAGAAAGCCACGGCUAACUACGUG